UACAGGGGGUGCAAACGUUGCUCGGAAUCAUUGGGCGUAAAGCGCACGUAGGCGGUCUGUUAUGUCGGAUGUGAAAGCCCUCGGCUCAACUGAGGAAGUGCAUCCGAAACUGGCAGGCUAGAGUACUAAAGAGGGUCGCGGAAUUCCCGGUGUAGAGGUGAAAUUCGUAGAUAUCGGGAGGAACACCGGUGGCGAAGGCGGCGACCUGGGUAGAUACUGACGCUGAGGUGCGAAAGCGUGGGAGCAAACGGG
rnacentral:rRNA from 1 species